rnacentral:lncRNA from 1 species
GUGGGGGUUGCCCUUCUCCAUCCCCGGCCAGUCCGACUUGGUGCUGGCGAUUGAAUUUAAACGAAUAAUCCCUACUUCCCCAACCAAAAUUAGCGGAUAGGCGCCCUUGCACCGGAAGGCCUCCUCACCAGUCUUUUCUUUUUGUCUUUGAAAUAAUUCUUAGCCUCAGAAGUCAGCAUUUUCAAGACCUGGCAUCCGCAGCGUUUCUGUCGCGGGGACUUCUCUCUUCGGCUCUGAGGUCUCCGCGCGCAGAACCCAUGGCAGCUUUUGGUCUUACGCGUGGCUGUGAGCUGGGCUCACGCUGCGUGGCGCAUCCACCCCUCGACUGACGCGCGGAGAAGCAUUUUUCAUUUUUUUAUUUCAGCUUCCCUGUUUUCAAACAAACAUCAGAUUUAAGAAGGUGAGGACUCCAAAGAAGAUCCAAACGCGAGACCAGGAAGAUUCACGUUUCCACUACUUCUUCCAAUACAUUUCACUAAUUUCUACAGGGAUAGUGUUUUAAAACACGACGACCCUCACACACCAAGGCGAAGUUGAAUAUUGUUGUUGUUCCUUCACCGCAUGAAAGGAAUCCUUCAGAACUUACUUUCAGGGACGGCUUCUUCUAUCUCGAAUUUUUGCAUUUGUAGGGAAUUUUAUGGGGUAGAGGAGCGAAGAGGGAACAACGUCUCCAAUUCAAAUAAAACCCCAAAUUAAGCUCUCAGCCCCAUCGGUGGGAUAGCCUGCGGGGGAACCCACUCCCUCUCCUGGCAGCAUUGCCCUGGGGACGAGCAGAGAGUGGAUUUGGAGUCUUCUUUUCCCGCCUGACCCCUGCUCGCCCGAGCAGCAUUUUCGGGCCAGCGGCUGCAGCCACCCGGGCGCCGCUAGGGGAUGCAGUGGCUCAAAGGACCGAGCGGGCCGUGCAGGUUGGAACCCGCGGGGCGGACCAAUCGCUGCUCGGCCACA